UGCAGCUGAAGCAGACUUUCCUUUUCCAACUGUCUGGAAUAGGGAACGAGGAGUUGUCUUUUGGAUCCUGUCCUAAGCAUUACAUCACCCAAAUAGCAGCAGACAUGACUGGGACGGAAAAGGUUCUGGCCUGGUGCCCAGUGAAACCGUGCUGUCCUCCUCCCUCACACUUCCUGAAGUGGCCACCCCUCCCCUUUCCUUUCUGCUUAGGAACUGCCUUAACUCUACGUGGCAAUGAUUCAACAAG